rnacentral:rRNA from 1 species
CCAGACUCCUACGGGAGGCAGCAGUGGGGAAUAUUGCACAAUGGGCGCAAGCCUGAUGCAGCGACGCCGCGUGGGGGAUGACGGCCUUCGGGUUGUAAACUCCUUUCGUUAGGGACGAAGCCACACCUUUUUUUGGGUGUGGUGACGGUACCUUUGUUAAGAAGCACCGGCUAACUACGUGCCAGCAGCCGCGGUAAUACGUAGGGUGCGAGCGUUGUCCGGAAUUACUGGGCGUAAAGAGCUCGUAGGUGGUUUGUUGCGUCGUCUGUGAAAUUCCGGGGCUUAACUUCGGGGUGGCAGGCGAUACGGGCAUAACUAGAGUGCUGUAGGGGAGACUGGAAUUCCUGGUGUAGCGGUGGAAUGCGCAGAUAUCAGGAGGAACACCGAUGGCGAAGGCAGGUCUCUGGGCAGUAACUGACGCUGAGGAGCGAAAGCAUGGGGAGCGAACAGGAUUAGAUACCCUGGUAGUCCAUGCUGUAAACGGUGGGCGUUAGGUGUGGGGACCGGUUUGGUUUCUGUGCCGUAGCUAACGCAUUAAGCGCCCCGCCUGGGGAGUACGGCCGCAAGGCUAAAACUCAAAGGAAUUGACGGGGGCCCGCACAAGAGGG